AGUGGCGGACGGGUGAGUAACGCGUGAGAAUCUGCCUUGGGGUCGGGGACAACCACUGGAAACGGUGGCUAAUACCGGAUAAGCCGAUUGGUGAAAGAUUUAUUGCCCGAAGAGGAGCUCGCGUCUGAUUAGCUAGUUAGUGAGGUAAGAGCUCACCAAGGCAGCGAUCAGUAGCUGGUCUGAGAGGACGAUCAGCCACACUGGGACUGAGACACGGCCCAGACUCCUACGGGAGGCAGCAGUGGGGAAUUUUCCGCAAUGGGCGAAAGCCUGACGGAGCAAGACCGCGUGAGGGAGGAAGGCUCUUGGGUUGUAAACCUCUUUUCUCAGGGAAGAAGCUCUGACGGUACCUGAGGAAUCAGCCUCGGCUAACUCCGUGCCAGCAGCCGCGGUAAUACGGAGGAGGCAAGCGUUAUCCGGAAUUAUUGGGCGUAAAGCGUCCGCAGGUGGCGAUUCAAGUCUGCUGUCAAAGCACGGGGCUUAACUCCGUAAAGGCAGUGGAAACUGAAUAGCUAGAGUGCCGUAGGGGUAGAGGGAAUUCCCGGUGUAGCGGUGAAAUGCGUAGAGAUCGGGAAGAACAUCGGUGGCGAAAGCGCUCUACUGGACGGCAACUGACACUCAGGGACGAAAGCUAGGGGAGCGAAUGGGAUUAGAUACCCC
rnacentral:rRNA from 1 species